rnacentral:rRNA from 1 species
GGCCUAUCAGCUUGUUGGUGAGGUAAUGGCUCACCAAGGCGACGACGGGUAGCCGGCCUGAGAGGGCGACCGGCCACACUGGGACUGAGACACGGCCCAGACUCCUACGGGAGGCAGCAGUGGGGAAUAUUGCACAAUGGGCGAAAGCCUGAUGCAGCGACGCCGCGUGAGGGAUGACGGCCUUCGGGUUGUAAACCUCUUUCAGCAGGGAAGAAGCGAAAGUGACGGUACCUGCAGAAGAAGCGCCGGCUAACUACGUGCCAGCAGCCGCGGUAAUACGUAGGGCGCAAGCGUUGUCCGGAAUUAUUGGGCGUAAAGAGCUCGUAGGCGGCUUGUCACGUCGGUUGUGAAAGCCCGGGGCUUAACCCCGGGUCUGCAGUCGAUACGGGCAGGCUAGAGUGUGGUAGGGGAGAUCGGAAUUCCUGGUGUAGCGGUGAAAUGCGCAGAUAUCAGGAGGAACACCGGUGGCGAAGGCGGAUCUCUGGGCCAUUACUGACGCUGAGGAGCGAAAGCGUGGGGAGCGAACAGGAUUAGAUACCCUGGUAGUCCACGCCGUAAAACGGUGGGAACUAGGUUGUUGGCGACAUUCCACGUCGUCGGGUGGCCGCAAGCUAACGCAAUUAAGUUCCCGCCUGGGGAGUACGG